rnacentral:sRNA from 1 species
GCUGGGCGUGGUGGUGGGUGCCUGUAAUCCCAGCUACUUGGGAAGCUGAGGCAGGAGAAUCGCUUGAACCCAGGAGGCUGAGGCUGCAGUGAGCAGAGAUUGCACCACUGUGCUCCAGCCUGGGCAAUAGAGCAAGACUCUGUCUCAU